rnacentral:lncRNA from 1 species
UAAAAUAAGGCAAUCUACUAUUUUCGGUUUUCGGUUUCCGGCUAGUCACUGGUUUUUACCUACCAACUCCCUAAGCGGCCUCGAUCUCUAUUCGAUUCAAUAUCGAUUGUAAACUUAAAUAUAAAAACAUAAUAAAAUAGUAAAAUAAACAAAAUAAACUAGCGAAAUGCCUAAGUACAAUUAUAGAAGAAUGUGCAUCAAAAUGCACUGAUCAAAUUCCCCCAUACUUGAACUUUUACACUCCAAGCAAAAUUACAAUUUC